AGUGAACGCUGGCGGUAGGCCUAACACAUGCAAGUCGAACGGCAGCACAGUAAGAGCUUGCUCUUACGGGUGGCGAGUGGCGGACGGGUGAGGAAUACAUCGGAAUCUACUUUUUCGUGGGGGAUAACGUAGGUAAACUUACGCUAAUACCGCAUACGACCUACGGGUGAAAGCAGUGGAUCUUCGGACCUUGCGCGAUUGAAUGAGCCGAUGUCGGAUUAGCUAGUUGGCGGGGUAAAGGCCCACCAAGGCGACGAUCCGUAGCUGGUCUGAGAGGAUGAUCAGCCACACUGGAACUGAGACACGGUCCAGGCUCCUACGGGAGGCAGCAGUGGGGAAUAUUGGACAAAGGGCGCAAGCAUGAUCCAGCCAUACCGCGUGGGUGAAGAAGGCCUUCGGGUUGUAAAGACCUUUUGUUGGGAAAGAAAAGCAGCAGGUUAAUACCCCGCUGUUCUGACGGUACCCAAAGAAUAAGCACCGGCUAACUUCGUG
rnacentral:rRNA from 1 species